rnacentral:rRNA from 1 species
GACGAACGCUGGCGGCGUGCCUAAUACAUGCAAGUUGAGCGCUGAAGGUUGGUACUUGUACCGACUGGAUGAGCAGCGAACGGGUGAGUAACGCGUGGGGAAUCUGCCUUUGAGCGGGGGACAACAUUUGGAAACGAAUGCUAAUACCGCAUAAAAACUUUAAACACAAGUUUUAAGUUUGAAAGAUGCAAUUGCAUCACUCAAAGAUGAUCCCGCGUUGUAUUAGCUAGUUGGUGAGGUAAAGGCUCACCAAGGCGAUGAUACAUAGCCGACCUGAGAGGGUGAUCGGCCACAUUGGGACUGAGACACGGCCCAAACUCCUACGGGAGGCAGCAGUAGGGAAUCUUCGGCAGUGGACGAAAGUCUGACCGAGCAACGCCGCGUGAGUGAAGAAGGUUUUCGGAUCGUAAAACUCUGUUGGUAGAGAAGAACGUUGGUGAGAGUGGAAAGCUCAUCAAGUGACGGUAACUACCCAGAAAGGGACGGCUAACUACGUG